CUCUUCUGAUCUUCUCCGCUUCCUAUGUUCCUAGGAGGUGCAAUCCUAUCCACCGUUUCAUGGGGACAGGUCAGGUGACUUGCCAUCCAGUAGGUACCACCUCUUGAAGGCCCUCUGUACCCCCAACAUUUGACUUCUGGAGGCCCUGGCGACUGGGGCAAAACCCGAAGCCCGCCCUGUGUGCGUGUGUUGAGGCCGCGUGCUUGCACGCAGCUGCCGAAAGGCGAUGGCCGAAAAUAGAGACACUUCCUGGUAAACAGGGGCAACUGGAAGGUCGGUGGGCACCUCGUAUUUCUCCGCUUUACGGUGUUGAUCUGGCUACCCAGGCUGGAGACAGGCUUCUGGCCUGCUUGGCCCGUUCUUCUGACGCUUGGCAAGCGAGGACCUUUGCUUUCCGAAAAACACCAGGCCUUGGGUUUUCCACCAUCUCUCUCCCCUCCUCCUGCUCCUCCUCGCUGGCGUCUUCUGGUGGUCCUCUGAGCAGACCUUACCUCGAGCAACCUCUUGCAAAGAGCUAUGAAUUUUUGAAAAGGGCCCUAUUACAUCUCGGCAGAGCUCUUUAACUCUCUCUCUCUUUUUAAAAAAGAUCAGAUCCGCCCAAGAACUGCGCCGACUGAGGCUGUGUGCUGCGUGCUACCACUGCAGUGCUCGGGGAGACGGGAAAGUAGGUCACGGUGUCACUUAAGGCUGCCGUGUACUAAUGCCGACCCGGCAAGUGGAGCGAAAGCGUGCCAGGGUUGGAGAUGAUAGAUGGCCGUCUCGGUGGUAUAAACAGGCAAUGGGGGGAGGAGGCGUCAGAGGGAGCCGGGCUCUUUGGCCAAAGGCACCGCGGUCAGUUUGCAACUGGCCCAGCAAAACUUUUUCAUCGGGGCUGUGCUAGCCACGUUCCUCCGACUGCUCUCCUCGCCUUCCUCAUCCUUCUCUGAUAUUUCUUCCCUCCUCUGAGUGGUUGCGCAAGCACUGCGUUUGUGGCGCCCUCUGCUGGCACGGAUCCGAGGCUGAAAUAAAGGCUGCAAGAAUGAGAGUUCCCGGCGUGAAAGUGCAAAACCCAAAGAAUUGGGGUGUAUGUUUGUGUUCUCCUCCAGGAAAGGCAGCUGUGGCUUUGAAGGAAGCCCAGGUGCAUUUCUGGAGAGAGAAAAGACAAGGCAGAUAAAAGAAAGUGCUUCUACACGUCGCUGUAGAUAGCCACUUCCUUUGUGAAUGAGUUGGUCUCGUCCUCUUUUAAAACCAUCCGAGUCGGUGGCCAUCGCUGCCUCCUGUGGCAGGGAGUUCCACAUGUUAACUAUUCUUGUGAGCCACCUUGAGUGGCAGAAGCAGGAAGCCAGCCUAGAAAUUCCUGAAAUACUGCAGGAGCAGAGACUUCUGAGGUUGCUGUGUUUUGCAUCGGAUGGUUUGUCCAGUUCUCCUCUGUGGUUUUGAAAGGUCUCCCACCAUAGAAACUUUGGUUGCUUCACUGAUGCUAAACAAUGUUCAAAAUAGCUUCAGGAAUGUGGAGGAGGUGGCAGUGCGGGGUCCAGAGCACCCCUGGAGAAGCAGGGCAAGGAGGCAGGGAUAUGGGCACAACUGCCCUGGCACCACGUCAAAUGAUGUCAGGUGGAUUUUCUCCUCCUUCUCCCCCUCCUCCUCCAUCUCGCAGAAGAACAGGUUGUUCCCUUCAAUUUUGGGCUUGAUUUAUUAAUGCAAACUGUGUGGUUGCCAGUACAUGGUGCUCACCUAUAGGACUGCAGAUGCCUGAUGCUUCCCUCGUCCAUUAAGCCUGAGCUUUGAAAAACAAAUUGUCAAAAUGCGCAGAGAAGCUCACUUAGCAUCUGAAAGCCUUGAGGAAUCAAGUCACCCUGCGUGUCCUGCAGGUGGUAGUCACCCAGACAAUAUUAUUCUUUUUUUUUUUGAGGUGAGGCCACCAGAACCCUACACAGUUCUGGCUGCACCAUAGAUUUGCAUAAGAAUACUGGCAGCUUCGAUUCCUUUCCUAAUGAUCACUUGCAUGGAAUGUUCCUUUUUCACGACCGAAACAUACUAAUGAACUCCCUGUGUGUUUCUUCCCCGUAUAUUAUUAUGACCUUUGUUGAAAUGCAUGAAUUCUCUCCAUCUCUGAGUCCCAUCAGUGGACAUUUCAGGACAGCGGCUGAUUCAGAAACGCAGGAUGUCUGUGAGGCUCAGUGGCAAGAAAUGAUCGAGGGGAGCGGAAGAUGGAAAGACGAAAAAAGAGAUUGGCGUUGAGACAGGCGGCAGAGAGCGUCUCCACCCCCAUCGUUCUGCCCGGACACUGAGGUCCAGCUCCGAGGGCCUUCUGGCGGUUCCCUCACUGUGAGAAGCCAAGUUACAGGGAACCAGGCAGAGGGCCUUCUCAGUGGUGGCGCCUGCCCUGUGGAAGGCCCUCCCACCAGAUGUCAAAGAGAAAAACAACUACCUGACAUUUAGAAGACAUCUGAAGGCAGCCCUGUUCAGGGAAGCUUUUAAUGUUUAAAAGAUUAUUGUAUUUUAAUAUUCUGUUCGAAGCUGCCCAGAGUGGCUGGGGAAACCCAGCCAGAUGGGCGGGGUAUAAAUAAAUUAUUAUUAUUAUUAUUAUUAUUAUUAUUAUUAUUAUUUAUCACAAGGCAUUCUGUCCCUAGGAGCUCUCCCUGCCAAAGGAAGCCAGCCCCACAAAUAAGGGCCAAUUGCCCUUUUCGAUGGCAGAACUGCCCCCGUUCAGCGCUGCCAUUAACCUAUGGCUUGCAAGAGCCCCAGCUGUUUGGCAGCCCAGGCUGCAAGCAUGAAUGGACUCAGAUUUUCCGAGCACCGCGUUGCUGUUCCCAAACUCUGAAUGAAGCGCCGGCCCUCCGGUGAGAUCACUAAAUUAGGUGGCUGCGCCAAGAGACUAAUUUAUGACAUCGUCCCCGAGGCGGUAGCAGCCCGGAACACACACAGAGUAAUAAGGUCUCCCGAGAAAGAGGCUGACAUCCUCUCUCCGCCCCCUCGCUCCUUCCUGUGGAAGUGCCGGGCCUCAGGUGGCUUGGGAGCAGGGGUGGCGUCACAAAUGCACACACCUUCGGGGCGCAGAGGGGCAGCCCCUCCUCUUCCCGCCCUGCUCCCAGUCUGUGGCUGCUCAGGGAGGAAAUGGAAAAAGGUCUGCCCACAGAACCUGCAAAGGAGGGCAGUCAAUUAUCAUUGUAAUCAGUAUAAUAAAUGAUGAUUCUUGCAAUGUAGCAAAAGGACUGUUCUGAUCUAUCAUCUAUCUAUCAUCUCUCUCUCUCUCUCUCUCUCUCUCAUCUUUAUCUAUCAUAUCUAUCUAUCUAUCUAUCUAUCUAUCUAUCUAUCUAUCAUCUAUCUAUCUAUCUAUCUAUCUAUCUAUCAUCUAUCUAUCUAUCAUCUAUAUCUAUCUAUCUAUCUAUCAUCUAUCUAUCUAUCUAUCUAUCUAUCUAUCUAUCUAUCUAUCUAUCUAUAUCUAUCUAUCUAUCUAUCUAUCUAUCUAUCAUCUAUCUAUCUAUCUAUCAUCUAUCUAUCAUCUAUCUAUCUAUCUAUCUAUCUAUCUAUCUAUCUACCUAUAAUCUAUUGAUCGAUCAAUCAUCUGUCUAUUGAUCAUCUAUCAUCUAUCUAUCUAUCAUCUAUAUCUAUCUAUCAUCUAUCUAUCUAUCUAUCUAUCUAUCUAUCUAUCUAUCUAUCAUCUAUAUCUACCUAUCUACCUAUCAUCUAUUGAUCGAUCGAUCAUCUAUCUAUUGAUCAUCUCUCUCUCUCUCUCUCUCUCUCUCUCUCUCUCUCUCUCUCUUAUUGUUUGUCUAUUGCAUUUAUAUCCCAACUCUUUCGUCAAGGAGCUCAAAGUGGCCUGCACUGUUCUUCCCUUCCUCAUUUAAUCCACACAACAGCCCUGUGAGGUAGGUUAGGCUGAGAGUGACCGACCACUCCCCAAAGUUACCCAGUGAUCUUAAUGCCUUGCAUGAGGAUUCAAACCCUUGUCUCUCAUAUCAUAGUCCGGCACUCUAAGCACUGCACCACACCGAUAAGGGUUAGGGUUUGAAUCUGUCCAUUCCGACUCCCCCACCCCAAUCUUAAAGUCCACGUCAUAUUUCUGCAUUGUAUUUUCAAUUUUUUUAAGAAAAAAAGAAAUCCUCAUGGAAAGUUAUCAGGAUUUUAGUCUGCAUUUAUCCUAAUUGAUACAUGGUUGCAAACAUUUCCCCUGUGCAUUUUAAAUGUGAUUUUGACUAAUAUAUGCAUUUGUAGGCAACAUUUUCCCCUAAUAGAUACAUAUGUUUUGGGGUUGUAGAACUGCUUUGCAAAAUUCAGCCAAGUGCAAAUUUCAAAAUACGUAUAGAGCUCACCUUAAAACACCAAGGCAGCAAUCCUGUCCCUAAUAAACAGGCGUAAAGGCAGCACAAAGUUGCACCAGAUCCAAAACCUGCAUGAAGGCAACUGCUGAAGCUCUUCCUAUGUCUGGCAGAGAAUCACCCCCAAAGUGAAUGAAUUGCUCCUCCAUCUCUUCUUGGAACCAGAAAAUUCAUAUGAUAUUCUCCCCACUUGAAUUUCACCUGCCAUUAGGGAUCCUAUAUUAUUUUCCAUGCCAUGAGAAUUUUAUUCUUUUUAAAACUCAGUCGAGCCCCUUCUUUGCACAACCCAUCCCCAGCGCUGCGGAACCCCUAAAGGCGGAGAUUAAUUCUGGCACAAUCACCUCCAUGUCUGUGGCGUCAAGAAGGGUAGUUUGGCAUGACUAAAAGGAUGGUGACAGCCAUCACAAAAUUAAAAGAUGCCUGCUUCUUGGGAGAAAAGCAAUGACAAACCUAGACAGCAUCUUAAAAAGCAGAGACAUCACCUUGCCAACAAAGGUCCGUAUAGUUCAAGCUAUGGUUUUCCCAGUAGUGAUGUAUGGAAGUGAGAGCUGGACCAUAAAGAAGGACCAUUUGCCGAAGAAUGGAUGCCUUUGAAUUCUGGUGCUGGAGGAGACUCUUGAGAGUCCCAUGGACUGCAAGAAGAUCAAACCUCUCCAUUCUGAAGGAAAUCAGCCCUGAGUGCUCACUGGAAGGACAGAUCCUGAAGCUGAGGCUCCAAGACUUUGGCCACCUCAUGAGAAGAGAAGACUCCCUGGAAAAGACCCUGAUGUUGGGAAAGAUGGAGGGCACAAGGAGAAGGGGACUGCAGAGGACGAGAUGGUUGGACACGACUAAACGACUAAACAACAACAACAAAAGGCUGCUGGGAGUUGAAAAAGCAGUCCCCUGUGAUCGGCGGGGAUCUUGCAGGUUUUUUCCUCCCUCUGUCAGUCUUCAUCCCAGGCCUAUCCAUCUUCCCAUCAAAGAGGCCGUUUCUCCAAAACGGCUGCGUUUCGCUGAGUGUCUCUUGGAAUAACCGCUGAAAUCUCUUAGCAGGAGCUAAAAUAACCUCUCAUCCAAUAUAGAUGAGGUGCCAGAGUUCAAAUUGCUGGGAAGCGCAGAUGGCGGCACAGCAUUUCAGGGAAGUUGCUCUGUGGGUUCUGAGACUCUCGCAAAAGCCUUCCUCAACAUGGCGCCCUCCAGACGUUUUGGAUACAAUUCCCAUUAGCCCCGGCCAGUUCUAUAGCUGGGGAUUGCGUGGCAAGUUCCCACCCCCCCCCCCACAGUGGAAAUAAAGACACAUGACACAAUUAUUAAGUUGAAUGGGCUAAAUAUGGCCACAACUUUAUUGGUUACAGGUGAUGAGCGGUAUUGGCUUAGACAUUGGUCCUAACCGACUAUAUCUGACUUCAGCCCAUCCGCUUGAAGUCCGGGAAGGGUUAACCACCAGGAGGGGGAGUCCUGCUGAUGCACAUCAAGUAGGAACUUCCCCGGGGUCACCGCUAGGGGGCGUGCCUUAGGCCCUCACCUCCCCAGUCUUUGGACAGGGCCACGCCCCCCAGAAUCCUUUAUCGGUCUACCCCUCAAUAUGCAGGGCAGAUGAUGGCGCUUCCUCCCCUCUUCCAACUACAGAAAUAUACCUAUGCCUAACCGCCAAUACCCAGAAAGUUGUGACGAUUUGCUACGAGGUUAGUGAAAACCAAGUGGUUGGUGCCAAUUUGCCAAGUGGAAAAAUUCCUACCAGACCCCUCAAUGGUGACCAAUCGAAGCCCAUAACAAGGUCAAGGAAGAAAACCUUAAAGGGUGGGAUGGUGGGAAAAGCAGGAACAGCUGAUAGGCAGGAAAAGAGGGAGACCCCUGGCCGUACCUGCAUUAAAUGGGGCAGGCCACGCUCCCAGAGCCAGCCGAUUGGUUGGUCAGGGGGUGACACGACCGGGGAUUCCCCCGAUCGCGCGGGAGCUGGGCUCCAGCCUCCACGCGUGUGGUGGGGCUGUGACGCCUGCAAUCCCACCUCCUCUGCAGGUCAGAAGUGGCUUUGAUAGAUGGCCACUGAGAUCUCACAUGAAAAAUUGGGGUUCCCCAUUUUUUUCCAGGAUGCCUGGAAGGAAUUGUAACAGCGCCUUUGAUUUAGCUCAGCAGCUAAGUGGCAAUCAAUGAGCAGCAGUAUAAGGCACCAACAAUAGUGCAUCUUGCAUUCCUUUAAAAUAAAAAUAAAACAAAUAAAAAAUAUUUGUUACAUUUGGGUUAAAUUUACUUGUUCGACUUAACUAGCUUAUCCUAGAGAAAAUUGUCAGUACUGCAAGAAGAGGAGGUUUUUUUUAUUUAUUUACCAUUGCUGGCGACCUUGCAGAGAAAUUAAAUGGUACUGGCAAAAAAAUAUCUUCAGUAAUCAAUAAUGCCCUGCCCACUAACAUACCCUUAAACCCAAACAUCUGUUUAUUAACACAUUUUAUAAGACUGGUGCCAAAUAAUAGAGACAUUACCGUUCAACAGGGUUGUACAGUAGUAGCAUGCCUUAUAUACAUCAAAUAUUUGAAAACAAAAGGAAAUCCCUUCAUUCUGGGAAUGUACAUUAAGCUUUGGGUUCUAGGAGUAUUAAGUAGGAUUACAUGGACUUUGUGGAUCAAGCAAGGAAGAUGCCAAGUAAAUAAAUUUGUGGAGGAGCAAAAGGCUUUCAGAGAGUAUUGGAACAGCAAAUGAAAUAUGAAUUUCUGUAAUUCCUUUCCCCAUAUAGAAGUUGAAAGUAUAUAAGGAGAGGACUUUAUUGCUGAGUUUAUGCUGCAUGACUGAGUAUGUAUUGUGCAUGAUGCAAUUGGAAAUGUACUGGAUCAAAGCAUUGUUCAAUUCAAUAAUAAAUAUUUGUAAUUUAGGAUGUUUCGCAUCUGCUAGUCAUUUAAAGCACUAUGAAAUGAAAGUUUUCCUCCUUUUAAUGUUUUUUUAAAUCCUAAGUUGUUUUUUUUAGAAAAAGAAGAUUGCUGGUUAGGUAUGAUAUGUGUGUAUAUAAAAUGAUACUUGUAAGGUCAGUGACUAAUUUAUCAUUUAUUUUCUGGGAAGUGGUGGUUUCCCUUCAACAAAAUCAUCGACUGGAAGAAACAAAACAUUUCUUCUUGUUUGUUUCUUGAGCCGAAAUACCCCUAGCGCACCUGCGCAUGGCUUGAGGUCGCUCACAGCACAUUAAACUUCACAAUCAUGGCGUCGUUACAUCAAAGGUCAAAUAAAAUAGAUAAAUUCAGUUUCUCGAAGCUGCAGCAAGGACCCAAAAAUCCACUUAUAAGGUAGACGUCUGCUAAAUGAUAUGCCAAGCUCAUCCAUUUUGUUGAAUUAAUUAAACUAAACAGUUGCGACUGGAUUUUCAAUAAAUGUACAAUUAAUUGUUACCGUUUUGAAAUAUAUUGCAUUAUUCUCUUCCUUAGUACAAGGCACUAUUCUGCAAAAAAUAUGUUUUUCUUAUAGGGAGCACUGGAGAUGAGUUUACGGAACCAGGGUUAGACCACUGGUUAGAGCACUGCCUGCACUGGGGUUAUCUAACAUGGUGUCCUCCAGCUGCUGCUGAACUACAGCUCCCAUCGCCUCUGACAAUCAGCCAUGCUAGCUUGGGCUCAUGGGAAACAGAGUCCAGUCUGGUGGGCAACACCUUGUCUUGGAGGCUGUCCAGGGUUUCAGACAGAGUCUCUCCCAGCCCUCAUUGGAGGUCCCUUUGGGGACUGAAGGUGGAACCUUUAGCACUCAAAGCAGGUGAAGGCUGUGAAGGUCCUGUGUGAGUGCCUGGAGGCGGUUGGAGGAUGGAUGGUGGCUAACAGAUUGAGGUUGAAUCCUGACAAGACAGAAGUACUGUUUUGGGGGGACAGGGGGCAGGCGGAUGUGGAGGACUCCCUGGUCCUGAAUGGGGUAACUGUGCCCCUGAAGGACCAGGUGCGCAGCCUGGGAGUCAUUUUGGACUCACAGCUGUCCAUGGAGGCACAGGUCAAAUCUGCGUCCAGGGCAGCUGUCUACCAGCUCCAUCUGGUACGCAGGUUGAGACCCUACCUGCCCGCGGACUGUCUCGCCAGAGUGGUGCAUGCUCUAGUUAUCUCUCGCUUGGACUACUGCAAUGCGCUCUAUGUGGGGCUACCUUUGAAGGUGACCCGGAAACUACAACUAAUCCAGAAUGCAGCAGCUAGACUGGUGACUGGGAGCGGCUGCCGAGACCACAUAACACUGGUCUUGAAAGAUCUACAUUGGCUCCCAGUACAUUUCCGAGCACAAUUCAAAGUGUUUGUGCUGACCUUUAAAGCCCCAAACGGCCUCUGCCGAGUAUACCCAAAUGAGCGUCUCCAUCCCCAUCGUUCUGCCCGGACACUGAGGUCCAGCGCCGAGGGCCUUCUGGCGGUUCCCUCAUUGCGAGAAGCAAAGCUACAGGGAACCAGGCAGAGGGCCUUCUUGGUGGUGGUACCCACCCUGUGGAACGCCCUCCCAUCAGAUGUCAAGGAAAUAAAGAACUAUCUGGCUUUUAGAAGACAUCUGAAGGCAGCCCUGUGUAGGGAAGUUUUUAAUGUUUGAAGUUUUAUUCUGUUUUUAGUGUUCUGUUGGGAGCCGCCCAGCGUGGCUGGGGAAACCCAGCCAGAUGGGUGGGGUAUAAAUAAAUAAAUAUAUUAUUAUUAUUAAAGCAAGUGCUCUAAACGAGGGCUCUGCCCCUUCUCCAAACCUCCUGCCCUUAGAGUGACUUUGAAUCCCUUUGUGUUCCCGCCUUGUCCCUCUGUACCUUGGAAGAUCAUCAUCCCAUUUCUCCAGCCACACGUAGUCAAGGUUUGCCUCUCCACCAUGAGCAGACGGGGAAAGUGGCCCCCAUUUGUCUUGAUAAUGUGAUGUGUCCUCAUGAAUCACUUGGCAGGAGUCCCACCGAUGCUCCGUGCCAGGAUCUCACCUCCCUGUCUUAUUGAUUGUGGCAGCUCAGACCAACUUUCCGAUCGGAGUUUGGGUCGAGGAAGCUUCCCCUUUGCAUUUAACUUUCUCCUUAAGCUAUUGUGUACAUCUCCCAGUUCAAAGCUUGUAGGAGUGUGAGUGUGAUGGCUUGAAAGUUAGGAAUUGCCUGCUGGCAAAUUUCAGGGCAUGGGGGGAGGAUUUUGGAGGGGCAGUUCCAGCAGCAGGGGUUGAAUUCUGCUUCCAUCCCUGAAUUGAAGUCCCUUCCUGAGACAUUGCUCGAAAUGACCCCCUCUCCCCCCAAUUUUGCCGCACAGAAACACGGCGGCGAAGCUGGGAUGCUCUCAUUUCCAAUCAGCUCUUCAAUGCUCUACAUGCAGCACAGAAUUAAGCGGUGGAACUCACUCCCACUGGAGGCAGGGAUGGUUUUAAAAGAGGAUUGGACAAAAUCAUGGGAAAUGUAUAGAACUAGUUCAAAUCUGUGUUGCGAAUGUAAAGGGAAAGAGGGUACUUUUUACCAUAUGUGGUGGAAGUGUCCAGUGGUAAAAGCUUUCUGGGAAAUGAUAUAUAAUGAGUUAAAGAAAAUGUUUAAGAAAACCUUUACUAGAAAAACCGGAAGCUUUUCUGAUAGCUGUAAUAGGUGAAGAUACCAAAAGAAGGCAAAAUACUUUUUUUUAAGUACGCAACAACCACAGCGAGAUGGAAGGAGGGAGAACUGCCAUCCAGAGAAGAAUGGCAGACGAAAUUGAUGGAAUAUGCAGAGAUGGCAAAACUGAUGGGAAAGAUCAGAAACCAGGAAGAUCAAGUAUUUUUAAAAGACUGGAAUAAAUUCUUAAUAUGCUGUACUUAAAAGACUACUGUAAACAGUUAAAAUCAUUGCCAGGGAUGUAAUGACACUUGUAAUGUGAAAUGAAUUGUGGUAACUAUAGAUAUAUAACAGAUGGAUAAUGGUAAAAGAUGCAGAAAAAAUUAUUUUAAAAAUGGAAACCAUGGAGGAAGGGAAGGAGGUCUGAAGGUUUGAAAGAACCUUUUAUUUUAAUGUUUUGAAGUGGUUAAAGUUAAAAUGUAUAAAAUUAUGUAAAACCAAUAAAAAAAUUAUAUAUGAAAAUUCAUGGAGGAGAGGGCUAUUGGUUGCAAAUCACCACAAUGGCUCUUCUCUGCCUCCACAUUUGUUUUUUUUUUUUUCCACUAUACCUGUUUCUUUUUUUUUUUAAUAAGAUAUUUAUUAAGAUUUUCAGAAAAUUACAAGACAAAUAAAGAAAAAAGGAAAAAAGGAAAAUACAAAAUAAAAACAGUUAAAAACAAUUCCUUCCUUCCGUUACUUAGCCUUCAUUUGCUUAUUUCCAGGACCUCCUCACACCUCCUAUUUUUGUAUUCCAAUUCAGUUAUUAGUUCAGCAAAUCCCUCCCCUCUUUAUGUAUCCUAAUCGUUAAUCAUAAAGUAUUUGUAAUUUUAGAUUUUUACCUAUUAAUAAACCAUUUUUUUUCAUAUUCCCUUAUAACAUUUCGGCUAAAGACCACUUAGUUUCUAUCCGACAUCAUUCUAGCAUUCAUUAAUUUUGCAAUAUUUCUGUAAAUAGUCUUUAAACUUUUUCCAAUCUUCUGUCCAACAUCUUGUGCCCAUUUAAUCAUAGCAGAUUUCACCAUUUCGUCCUGAGUAUUCCAUUUCAACAGCAAGUUAUACAUUUUUGACAAAAUCUUAGUUUUGGGUUCUAACAGUUCUGUUUCCAAUUUUGAUUUUUCCACCUGGAAACCAAUUUUCUUAUCCAAAUUGUAUGCCUCCAUUAUCUGAUAAUAAUGAAGCCAGUCUCGCACUUUGUCUUUUAAUUUCUCAAAACUCUGCAAUUUCAGUUUGUCUCCUUCCUGUUCCAAAAUUUCCCAAUAUUUCGGCCAUUUGGCCUCCAUAUUGAGCCUUUUCUGAGCCUUUGCUUCCAUCGGUGACAACCACCUUGGGGUUUUGUUUUCAAGUAAGUCCUUAUAUCUUAUCCAGACAUUUAACAAUGCUUUCCUGACAAUAUGGUUUUUAAAUGCUUUAUGUGCUUUAACCUUGUCAUACCACAAAUAUGCAUGCCACCCAAAAACAUUAUUAAAACCUUCUAAGUCCAAAAUGUCAGUGUUUUCAAGAAGCAGCCAUUCUUUCAACCAGCAGAACUGCUGCUGAUUCAUAAUAAAGUUUAAGGUCUGGCAGGGCAAAUCCACCUCUGUCCUUUGCAUCGGUUAAUAUUUUAAAUUUUAUUCUGGGCUUCUUGCCCUGCCAGACAAAUCUAGAAAUGUCUCUCUGCCACCUCUUGAAACAGUCCAUUUUGUCCAAAAUUUGCAAUGAUUGAAACAAAAAUAACAUUCUUGGCAAUACAUUCAUAGAAUCAUAGAAUCAUAGAAUCAUAGAACUGUAGAGUUGGAAGGGACCCUGAGGAUCAUCUAGUCCAACCCCCUGCAAUGCAGGAAUAUGCAGCUGUCUCAUACAGGGAUCGAACCUGCAACCUUGGUGUUAUCAGCACCAUGGUCUAACCAUCUGAGCUAUCAUUCAUCUUUAUUCAUCCACAUUUGGAGGCAGCUGUGCUUCUGAAUACCAGUUGCUGAAAAGUGCAGGAGGGCGGAGAUGUCCUGUGCUUGAAUCUUGCUUGUGAGUUUCCCAUUUGCACCUGGUUUUGCCACUGUGAGAACAGGACGCUGGACUAGAUGGGCCGGUGGCCUGUUCCAAUAAGCCAGGGGUCAGCAACCUUAGGCCCAUGGGCCAGACGCAGCCCACGGAGGCCAUUUAACUGGCCCAUGAGCUGCCCCCAAACUGAGCCGCUCGCUCGGCGAGUCCCCGCGCUCUGCGCUAAACCAGCACAGGGACUCUCUUCCACGGCUCUGGAUAUUGCGUCUGUGCAUGUCCGCAGCACCAGAAAUCGCUUCUGGUGAGAGCCAGUGUGGUGUAGUGAUUAAGAGCGGUAGACUCGUAAUCUGGUGAACCGGGUUCGCUUCGCCGCUCCUCCACAUGCAGCUGCUGGGUGACCUUGGGCUAGUCCCACUUCUCUGAAGUCUCUCAGCCCCACUCACCUCACAGAGUGUUUUUUGUGGGGGGAGGAAGGGAAAGGAGAAUGUUAGCCGCUUUGAGACUCCUUUGGGUAGUGAUAAAGCAGGAAAUCAAAUCCAAACUCUUCUUCUUCUUCUGCACAGGAACGAUUUUCAGUGUUUGGG